UACAGAGGGGGCAAGCGUUAUUCGGAAUUAUUGGGCGUAAAGGGCGCGUAGGCGGCUUGGCAAGUGGAUGGUGAAAUCCCUCGGCUUAACCGAGGAACUGCCGUCCAAACUGCUUUGCUUGAGACCGGGAGAGGUGAGUGGAAUUCCCAGUGUAGCGGUGAAAUGCGUAGAUAUUGGGAGGAACACCAGUGGCGAAGGCGGCUCACUGGUCCGGUACUGACGCUGAGGUGCGAAAGCGUGGGGAGCAAACAGG
rnacentral:rRNA from 1 species